CACCUCCCACCCGUGUUUAUUUUACCUUGUUGCUUCGGCGGGCCCGCCUUAACUGGCCGCCGGGGGGCUUACGCCCCCGGGCCCGCGCCCGCCGAAGACACCCUCGAACUCUGUCUGAAGAUUGUAGUCUGAGUGAAAAUAUAAAUUAUUUAAAACUUUCAACAACGGAUCUCUUGGUUCCGGCAUCGAUGAAGAACGCAGCGAAAUGCGAUACGUAAUGUGAAUUGCAAAUUCAGUGAAUCAUCGAGUCUUUGAACGCACAUUGCGCCCCCUGGUAUUCCGGGGGGCAUGCCUGUCCGAGCGUCAUUGCUGCCCUCAAGCACGGCUUGUGUGUUGGGCCCCGUCCUCCGAUCCCGGGGGACGGGCCCGAAAGGCAGCGGCGGCACCGCGUCCGGUCCUCGAGCGUAUGGGGCUUUGUCACCCGCUCUGUAGGCCCGGCCGGCGCUUGCCGAUCAACCCAAAUUUUUAUCCAGGUUGACCUCGGAUCAGGUAGGGAUACCCGCUGAACUUAAGCAUAUCAA
rnacentral:rRNA from 1 species